rnacentral:rRNA from 1 species
UGCAAGUCGAGGGGUAACGGAAGUAGCUUGCUACUAGACGACGACCGGCGCACGGGUGAGUAACGCGUAUGUAAUCUGCCUUGUACAGAGGGAUAGCCCAGAGAAAUUUGGAUUAAUACCUCAUAGUAUUACUGAAUCGCAUGAUUCGGUAAUUAAAGCUCCGGCGGUACAAGAUGAACAUGCGUGACAUUAGCUAGUUGGUAAGGUAACGGCUUACCAAGGCCACGAUGUCUAGGGGUUCUGAGAGGAUGAUCCCCCACACUGGUACUGAGACACGGACCAGACUCCUACGGGAGGCAGCAGUGAGGAAUAUUGGUCAAUGGACGCAAGUCUGAACCAGCCAUCCCGCGUGAAGGAUGACUGCCCUAUGGGUUGUAAACUUCUUUUAUAUGCAAAUAAACCUACUUUCGUGAAAGUAGCUGAAGGUAGCAUAUGAAUAAACACCGGCUAACUCCGUGCCAGCAGCCGCGGUAAUACGGAGGGUGUAAGCGUUAUCCGGAUUUAUUGGGUUUAAAGGGUACGUAGGCGGUAAUAUAAGUCAGUGGUGAAAUCCUGCAGCUCAACUGUAGAACUGCCAUUGAAACUGUAUUACUUGAGUAUACUUGAGG